AAUAUGGAGAUUCGGGGUCAAACUGGUCUUAAACAUCUGAUUUGGUCUUCUUAUUAGAUUUGGGUUGGACGUCUAAAGAGUAAUGGUUUAUAUCGUUGCAAAUCACUAUAUCUCUUGUAUAUAAGUAUAUUGAUUAUGAGUCAGUUCAUUUGAAUAUAUUUUCUAAAUUGUUCUUUUAAUCUAUAUCCUUGCAUUUCACUAAACAUUUAACAUAUAUAGCAAUAUGCAAAAAGUGAACGAAUACGGCUGAUGUUUAACAGACAAGGCAGUCCGCAUAACUUAUGAAAGAAUUAUGAUAAUAAGGUAUUUCCUGUAACCAUCAUAUGUGAUUGAGAUGUAUGCAUUUUUGGCUUGCAUAUACAAGUUUGUAAGCAAAUAGUCUAAACGGAAGAUUACUAAAAUAGGGGAUAAGCUGAAUCUAAAAAUAAAACGAUUUAGAAAAUUAGGUUAUAAAUUUGGUUUUGGAACUUCAAAUAUUUGCACUUUUUCAUUUUUGGAUCUUGUUAUGCAUUGUAUGAAAUUCUACAGGUAUAAAUGCUAACUAAUGCAUGUUUUUAGUAAUAUUUAGUCUCAUAUUAUACUACUAUUCACUAAACGCGGUAAAAGUAUUAGAAAAAUUAUCGAAGUAAAUUAUAAUAUACGGUUUCUUUUUAUGCCGACCUUGAAGCAAACACAAUAAGUAUAAAAUUCUUCAUGAGAAAAAAGUGAUUACCUUUAGUUUCUUUCUUGCGACUAGAAGAAACAAUGAAAACUUUCCCUUCUUUUUCCACGGCUUGUCUCUAUAUAACAUAAUAUUGUUCGAGCCAAGAUGUCAUUAAACUUGUGUACCUUCUUCAAGCCACAUUCUCUUCUCCAUUUUCUUGUUCACUAUUUAUGGUGAUACAUAUCCUUCAAGCUUCCUUGGGGUUAUUAUCCCCAUAAACACAACUCCGAUCAAUCUGACAACUCGAAGAUGUAGAAGCAGCAUAUUCGUCUCCCACGUCUGAAACCCUCUUCUGAUCUUUUUCUUCAUCAACUUGGCACUCGACGUUGCUUGUGUCCUUGGCAUUGUUCUGUAGAGAAGCAGAAGUUGUGGCCGCAUCCUCGUUGCUGAGCUGAGAAGCAACAAAUUUAUCGAGAACUCUCCAGUCCGUGACUUGGUCCAUCGCUUCCUCGUUCCCGCUAUUCAUGUAUAGAGAGCUGAAACUCUGAUUCCCUUGAUUCAAUUGUUCUUCAUGCGCGAGAUUCGACUGCUGCAAGUUAGCAAUCUCACUCGAGUUAUUAUCGUUGUUGCUUGUUCCGUAAGGAAGGGAGUUGCUAUUACUAUUAGCUUGUUGGAUAUUAGGGCUUUCAAGCUGAGGAAGUUGAAUUAAUGAUAAAGGAGAUUCAUGAAGAAGAUCAUGUUGUACCAGGUGGUUGUAUUGUAGCUCUAGCUCUUGCUUGCAUUGCAAGUUAGGAUUAUUGAGAAUGUAAGCAGAUGCAUUGAGGCCAUAUGGUAACUGCUGUUGGUGCUCGUACUGGUGCUGCUGCUGCUGAUUGGGGAGGAUCCGCCGUGGCCCGUUUGUCUCCAGCUCAGAGGCCAUAAAAGAGAGUUGAUCGCCAUACCAAUGUGAAGGCGAUGAGUCAUAAUCUCCCAUUCGUCUAACUGCAGCUAGUCUCUUCUUGAAAACCCUACACACGACCCAUCCUUCUUCCUACAACCAAAUAUCGUGUGAUGGGCCGGGAGAGAUUAGAGAUUUAGCAUAUAUAAAAACAAAAUAAAGUGUAAAGGGAAGCUAUGUUGUAGGGUCGAUAUAGUACCUGAGGAGUUCCAUUUUCAUCAGUUUCUAAGCGGUAUUCAUGCAUGAUCCAAUCGGAUUUUUGUCCAUUUGGGGCUCUUCCCUUGUAAAACACAAGUGUUUUCCUCAUACCAAUAAGACUGUGCCUCAAGUAUAUAGCCUUAUCUC